UUCGGGCCUCUCGCGUCAGGAUAUGCCUAGGUGGGAUUAGCUAGUUGGUGAGGUAAGGGCUCACCAAGGCGACGAUCCCUAGCUGGUCUGAGAGGAUGAUCAGCCACACUGGAACUGAGACACGGUCCAGACUCCUACGGGAGGCAGCAGUGGGGAAUAUUGCACAAUGGGCGCAAGCCUGAUGCAGCCAUGCCGCGUGUGUGAAGAAGGCCUUCGGGUUGUAAAGCACUUUCAGUCGUGAGGAAGGUAGUGUAGUUAAUAGCUGCAUUAUUUGACGUUAGCGACAGAAGAAGCACCGGCUAACUCCGUGCCAGCAGCCGCGGUAAUACGGAGGGUGCGAGCGUUAAUCGGAAUUACUGGGCGUAAAGCGCAUGCAGGUGGUUUGUUAAGUCAGAUGUGAAAGCCCGGGGCUCAACCUCGGAAUAGCAUUUGAAACUGGCAGACUAGAGUACUGUAGAGGGGGGUAGAAUUUCAGGUGUAGCGGUGAAAUGCGUAGAGAUCUGAAGGAAUACCGGUGGCGAAGGCGGCCCCCUGGACAGAUACUGACACUCAGAUGCGAAAGCGUGGGGAGCAAACAGGAUUAGAUACCCUGGUAGUCCACGCCGUAAACGAUGUCUACUUGGAGGUUGUGGCCUUGAGCCGUGGCUUUCGGAGCUAACGCGUUAAGUAGACCGCCUGGGGAGUACGGUCGCAAGAUUAAAACUCAAAUGAAUUGACGGGGGCCCGCACAAGCGGUGGAGCAUGUGGUUUAAUUCGAUGCAACGCGAAGAACCUUACCUACUCUUGACAUCCAGAGAACUUUCCAGAGAUGGAUUGGUGCCUUCGGGAACUCUGAGACAGGUGCUGCAUGGCUGUCGUCAGCUCGUGUUGUGAAAUGUUGGGUUAAGUCCCGCAACGAGCGCAACCCUUAUCCUUGUUUGCCAGCGAGUAAUGUCGGGAACUCCAGGGAGACUGCCGGUGAUAAACCGGAGGAAGGUGGGGACGACGUCAAGUCAUCAUGGCCCUUACGAGUAGGGCUACACACGUGCUACAAUGGCGCAUACAGAGGGCGGCCAACUUGCGAAAGUGAGCGAAUCCCAAAAAGUGCGUCGUAGUCCGGAUUGGAGUCUGCAACUCGACUCCAUGAAGUCGGAAUCGCUAGUAAUCGUGGAUCAGAAUGCCACGGUGAAUACGUUCCCGGGCCUUGUACACACCGCCCGUCACACCAUGGGGAGUGGGCUGCAAAAGAAGUAGGUAGUUUAACCUUCGGGGGGACGCUUACCACUUUGUGGUUCAUGACUGGGGUGAAU
rnacentral:rRNA from 1 species